UGGACCUUGAUCCUGUGAGGCUUCCUGGC
rnacentral:piRNA from 1 species